GUUUUUAAUAGAUUGACCGACUACGAAUCCGUAGGUCGCAAGUUCGAAUCUUGCCGGGCGCGCCA
rnacentral:tRNA from 1 species